GAUGAACGCUGGCGGCGUGCCUAAUACAUGCAAGUCGAGCGAACGGACGAGAAGCUUGCUUCUCUGAUGUUAGCGGCGGACGGGUGAGUAACACGUGGAUAACCUACCUAUAAGACUGGGAUAACUUCGGGAAACCGGAGCUAAUACCGGAUAAUAUUUUGAACCGCAUGGCUCAAAAGUGAAAGACGGUCUUGCUGUCACUUAUAGAUGGAUCCGCGCUGCAUUAGCUAGUUGGUAAGGUAACGGCUUACCAAGGCAACGAUGCAUAGCCGACCUGAGAGGGUGAUCGGCCACACUGGAACUGAGACACGGUCCAGACUCCUACGGGAGGCAGCAGUAGGGAAUCUUCCGCAAUGGGCGAAAGCCUGACGGAGCAACGCCGCGUGAGUGAUGAAGGUCUUCGGAUCGUAAAACUCUGUUAUUAGGGAAGAACAUAUGUGUAAGUAACUGUGCACAUCUUGACGGUACCUAAUCAGAAAGCCACGACUAACUACGUG
rnacentral:rRNA from 1 species